GCACAGAGUCGGACAUGACUGAAGUGACUUAGCAGCAGCAGCAGCAACAGCAGCAUGGACCUAAUUGUAAAAGCUAGAACAUCAUAACUUUUUAAAAAUAAACAUGGAAGCAUAUAUUUAUGAUCUUUGAACAGGUAGAGGUUUCUUGGAGUGAAAGAAAAAGCCACAGAAAAAAGAUACCUUGAAUGUCACCAAAUAAUACCUCUACUCAGCAAAAGAAAAUUAAAAGUUUAACUACAAUAUGGGAGAAAAUGUUUACAGUAUAUAUUUUACAAUAAACUUGAUCCAGGGUAAAUAAGGAAAAAGCCAAUAAUAAAAUCACAAGCAAGUUUUAUACAAUGAGGCAGAAGAUCUGAACACUUCACCAGGAAGAAUGUAUGGAUGGUGAAUAUGAACAUGAAAAAGAACUUGAUAUCAUUAGUUAACCAGAGAAAUGCAAAUUAAAACCAUAAUGUAAUACCACUUUCUUGUUGCAUCAACAGAUGCUGUUGACAGUGUGAAGUCAUACAACUCAUGUAUUGCUCUGGGAAGUAGGUGAACCACAAAUAUCUAACUGUUUUCCACAUGAAGAUGUAUCUGUCCCAGAGCUGAACAUGCACCUGGAGCCAGAGGACUCUAAGGAGCUGGUUUUGAAGAAGAAGCUUUGCCUCCUUUUCCCUGCCUACUUUUGGGUACAGGCAAACCCUCUGCUUUUAAAUAGCCAGUGAAGCUAAAAAAAACUUGCUAUAGUUCUUGGGAAUGUGGCUUGGACCAGAGUCACCUACAUUCAGCCCCAAAAAGCUAUUUUGAAAUGUGAAAUACAGACCUAACCCCACAAUUAUGUAGAGCAGGCGAUGACCUGCAUUCUGUGGUUUCGAGAGAAAUCUGGAUUUGGAUUCCUUUACUGUUU
rnacentral:lncRNA from 1 species